rnacentral:lncRNA from 1 species
GAUGGUGUCUACUUUACAAAACUAUUUCAGAAUUUUUUAAGUAUUUUUGAUCAAAUAAAUGCAGCUUUGCUGAACAGAAGACAUCUUUCAGAAACAUUAAAUGUUAAAUUCUGAAACUCAUUGACCAUUAGUGUGUGAGGUCUGUGUGCAGUGCAUGAUGGGUAAGCAGGGUGUGUUUAUGUGUGUUCUGAAUCUCUGCAGGCAAAUGGAAAUGCAGGCAGCAGCAGAUGAACAUUGAGCGAGAGAGACGGUCGUCUAACUCAGGUUCUCCGUUUCAGGGUCACCCCGCGGUGCUGUCUGUAGCUCCUCCCAUCGUGGCUCCGCCUCCUCUGUCGAUGGGCGGUCCCUGUCCUCCUCCCCCUCCCCCGCCCGGGCCGCCGCCCCCCUCCGCUGGAGCUCCGCCCCCUCCUCCACCUCCUCUGCCUGUGGGUGGAUACGGUGGACACGCCCAGGAUGAUAGCCACACCCCCACGGGUCUCGCAGCCAUGGAUCGCCGGAGCCAAACUGCGGCGUGUGCAACGGCCGGAGGAGAACUCUGCGUCCGCAGCCAAGAGCGAAGCCAACCGCAGCAGCGGAGGAAGCGGAGGACUGAUGGAGGAGAUGAACGCGCUGCUCGCACGCAGGAGGAAAGCAGCAGACGAGAAGAAGGAUGGAGAAAACCAAACUGA